rnacentral:rRNA from 1 species
GAUGAACGCUGGCGGCGUGCCUAAUACAUGCAAGUCGAGCGAACGGACGAGAAGCUUGCUUCUCUGAUGUUAGCGGCGGACGGGUGAGUAACACGUGGAUAACCUACCUAUAAGACUGGGAUAACUUCGGGAAACCGGAGCUAAUACCGGAUAAUAUUUUGAACCGCAUGGUUCAAAAGUGAAAGACGGUCUUGCUGUCACUUAUAGAUGGAUCCGCGCUGCAUUAGCUAGUUGGUAAGGUAACGGCUUACCAAGGCAACGAUGCAUAGCCGACCUGAGAGGGUGACCGGCCACACUAGAACUGAGACACGGUCCAGACUCCUACGGGAGGCAGCAGUAGGGAAUAUUCCGCAAUGGGCGAAAGCCUGACGGAGCAACGCAGCGUGAGUGAUGAAGGUCUUCGGAUCGUAAAACUCUGUUAUUAGGGAAGAACAUAUGUGUAAGUAACUGUGCACAUCUUGACGGUACCUAAUCAGAAAGCCACGGCUAACUACGUG